rnacentral:lncRNA from 1 species
AUGACAUCAUUUACACUUCAUCACCAUGGAGACGAGUCAUGCUUUAUUACUCUCUGCGGUGGCCAUUUCUGCUGCCAAGUAUGGCAUGGAGGAGAUGUCCCUUCAAGACAGUUAGACACACAGUCUGCAGCAGAAUGCCAUUCAUGGACUUGCUGUAGGAGAAAGAGCUCCUUCAUGUUCUCACUGCCCUGGGUGGCUGACCUUCUCACAAGAAAUGCCCCCAACUCCUCAGACAGGAGACACCACCUGCCAUUGCAGCAGCAGUCUGGAUGCAGCAGAAUGUGUUCGCAUAUUUGGACUUCCCAGAAGCCCAUCUCCUGGAUGCUUAAAGAACCUGUUAGGCUGACAAAUCAAACUGAUCAUCACAAGACGGAAUGCCAUUCAACAAGCUGUAUGCAAAGCUCAGGAGAACAGCCUGUCCUGUACUGCCCGUGACCCUCAUGGGCAGCAUGCCAGAAGCUUUGGUGUCCUUAUAAAGGACUUUCAGCACAGGCCCCUCUCCCACAAGUUACCAAGGAAGAGAAUAGAUGUGUUUGCAAAAAUUAAACAGUAGUAGUCAUGAAAAAGUGAAGCUUCCUAACAUAGAGCCCAGAAGCCCUUCUACUGUACUCAUCACAGUUGGCAGAGCAUUCACUCAUAUUGGGAUGCUGUAGAGCAGGGAUGACUUUUGCCUAAGUUUAUAGAUUUCCUUCACUGAACAUGGAAGCUCAUCAAAGUAACUCUUGAAUAACACUUGACUCACAGUGUGGCAGACGCUGUGAUGAGGCCUUCAUACAUGCAACCUCAAUAAACU